AGAGUUUGAUCAUGGCUCAGGAUGAACGCUAGCGACAGGCUUAACACAUGCAAGUCGAGGGGCAGCGGGGGAGUAGCAAUACUCCCGCCGGCGACCGGCGCACGGGUGAGUAACACGUAUGAAACCUGCCCGUAGCAGGGGGAUAAGCGGAAGAAAUUCCGUCUAAUACCGCGUAACAACCCGAGGAGGCAUCUCCUCGGGUUUAAAGGAGGCGAUUCCGGCUACGGAUGGUCAUGCGUCGCAUUAGCUAGUUGGCGGGGUAACGGCCCACCAAGGCGACGAUGCGUAGGGGUUCUGAGAGGAAGGUCCCCCACACUGGUACUGAGACACGGACCAGACUCCUACGGGAGGCAGCAGUGAGGAAUAUUGGUCAAUGGCCGCAGGGCUGAACCAGCCAAGUCGCGCGAGGGAUGACGGUCCUAUGGAUUGUAAACCUCUUUUGUCAGGGAGCAAAGGACGCCACGUGUGGUGUUUUGCGAGUACCUGAAGAAAAAGCAUCGGCUAACUCCGUGCCAGCAGCCGCGGUAAUACGGAGGAUGCGAGCGUUAUCCGGAUUUAUUGGGUUUAAAGGGUGCGCAGGCGGAAUGUCAAGUCAGCGGUAAAAUUUCGGGGCUCAACCCCGUCGUGCCGUUGAAACUGGCGUUCUUGAGUGAGCGAGAAGUAUGCGGAAUGCGUGGUGUAGCGGUGAAAUGCAUAGAUAUCACGCAGAACUCCGAUUGCGAAGGCAGCAUACCGGCGCUCAACUGACGCUCAUGCACGAAAGCGUGGGUAUCGAACAGGAUUAGAUACCCUGGUAGUCCACGCAGUAAACGAUGAAAACUAACUGUCCGGGCCGAUUGAGGUCUGGGUGGUACAGCGAAAGCGUUAAGUAUUCCACCUGGGGAGUACGCCGGCAACGGUGAAACUCAAAGGAAUUGACGGGGGCCCGCACAAGCGGAGGAACAUGUGGUUUAAUUCGAUGAUACGCGAGGAACCUUACCCGGGCUCAAACGACGGAUGAAUGUUUCUGAAAGGAGGCAGCCCUUCGGGGCAUCCGUCGAGGUGCUGCAUGGUUGUCGUCAGCUCGUGCCGUGAGGUGUCGGCUUAAGUGCCAUAACGAGCGCAACCCCCAUCGCCAGUUACCAGCAAGUAAAGUUGGGGACUCUGGCGAGACUGCCGGCGCAAGCUGUGAGGAAGGCGGGGAUGACGUCAAAUCAGCACGGCCCUUACGUCCGGGGCGACACACGUGUUACAAUGGCAGGUACAGAGAGAUGCGAUGCGGCGACGCAGAGCGGAACUUCAAAGCCUGUCUCAGUUCGGAUUGGAGUCUGCAACCCGACUCCAUGAAGCUGGAUUCGCUAGUAAUCGCGCAUCAGCCACGGCGCGGUGAAUACGUUCCCGGGCCUUGUACACACCGCCCGUC
rnacentral:rRNA from 1 species